rnacentral:misc_RNA from 1 species
GAUGAAGAACGUAGCGAAAUGCGAUAAGUAAUGUGAGUUGCAGAAUUCAGUGAAUCAUCGAAUCUUUGAACGCACAUUGCGCCCGCCAGCAUUCUGGCGGGCAUGCCUGUUCGAGCGUCAUUUCAACCCUCAAGCUCUGCUUGGUGUUGGGGCCCUACGGUUGACGUAGGCCCUUAAAGGUAGUGGCGGACCCUCUCGGAGCCUCCUUUGCGUAGUAACUAACGUCUCGCAUUGGGAUUCGGAGGGACUCUUGCCGUAAAACCCCCAAAUUUUCUAAUGGUUGACCUCGGAUCAGGUAGGAAUACCCGCUGAACUUAAGCAUAUCAAUAAGCGGAGGA